AGUAGAACGCUGAGGUUUGGUGUUUACACUAGACUGAUGAGUUGCGAACGGGUGAGUAACGCGUAGGUAACCUGCCUCAUAGCGGGGGAUAACUAUUGGAAACGAUAGCUAAUACCGCAUAAGAGUAAUUAACACAUGUUAGUUAUUUAAAAGGAGCAAUUGCUUCACUGUGAGAUGGACCUGCGUUGUAUUAGCUAGUUGGUGAGGUAAAGGCUCACCAAGGCGACGAUACAUAGCCGACCUGAGAGGGUGA
rnacentral:rRNA from 1 species